AGCCCUCAGCGUACAUGCCAGCUAAUUACAGAUGCAGGAGCAAACCCCUGGCCCAUACAUCAACUUUGAGUCUUGCUCUAUGGCCCAGACUGGAGUGCAGUGGCAUGAUCUCGGCUCACUUCAACCUCCACCUCCAGGGUUCGAGAGAGAUUCUCCUGCCUUAUCUUCCCAAGUAGCUGGGAUCACCAACGCCCACAACCACACCCGGCUAAUUUUUGUACUUUUAGUGGAGACAGGGUUUCGCCAUGUUGGCUAGGCUGGUCUCAAACUCCCGACCUCAGGUGAUCCACCUGCCUUGGCCUCCCAAAGUGCUGGGAUUACAGACGUGAGCCCCCGCACCUGGCCAAGAUCAGCUAGAUUUUGGAAGCAUUGCCUUCUACAGAAUCCACAGUAGUCCGAAGUUCUUCUACGGUUUUUGUCAAACUUUGAUUUUCCAUCUCUAGCUUCAAUAAUCUACUUGAUGUCAACUCAUUCACCUCAUGGCCCAGGGAUUUCUGCGGUGCUAUAAUAUUGAAAAAUACACCAUUGUAUUUACUCUGUACUGUUUUUACUAUGUUUACUCUUUACUAUUUAAAAAGUUGAGUGUAUAUGCAUUGCAUCAUCUGAUCUUUAACUUUAUUAAAAAUUCAAUGGGGUUAUGUAA
rnacentral:antisense_RNA from 1 species